rnacentral:rRNA from 1 species
UACGGAGGGGGCUAGCGUUGUUCGGAAUUACUGGGCGUAAAGCGCGCGUAGGCGGAUCUGCAAGUCGGGGGUGAAAUCCCGAGGCUCAACCUCGGAACUGCCUUCGAUACUGCGGGUCUCGAGUCCGGGAGAGGUGAGUGGAAUUCCUAGUGUAGAGGUGAAAUUCGUAGAUAUUCGCAAGAACACCAGUGGCGAAGGCGGCUCACUGGCCCGGUACUGACGCUGAGGUGCGAAAGCGUGGGGAGCAAACAGGG